CAAAAACAUGUCCUUUUGUUUAUUUAUUUAAGGUCUGACCUGCCCAAUGAGGAAUUCAAUGGCCGCAGUAUUUUAACUGUGCUAAGGUAGCAUAAUCAUUUGUCUUUUAAUUGAGGGCUGGAAUGAAAGGUUGGACGAGAUAUAGACUUUCUUUAAUUUAAUUUUAAGAAUUUAAUUUUUGAGUUAAAAAGCUUAAAUUUGUUUGUUGGACGAGAAGACCCUAUAGAUCUUUAUAAUUUUAUAUUUUAAUAAUUUGGUGGUUAUGUUUAUUAUAAGUAGAAUAAUUAUUUGGUUGGGGUGACUGUAGAAUUUUAUUAACUUCUAUUGUUUAGAUUUCAUUAAUUGGUGUUUUUUUGAUCCAUAUUUUUAUGAUUAAAAGAUUAAGUUACCUUAGGGAUAACAGCGUAAUUUUUUCGGAGAGUUCAUAUUGAUGAAGAAGUUUGCGACCUCGAUGUUGGAUUAAAAUAAGUUAUGGAUGCAGGAGUCUAUAUACUAGGUCUGUUCGACCUUUAAAUUUUUACAUGAUCUGAGUUC
rnacentral:rRNA from 1 species